UGAUGACCGUCGACUUUUGAUUUUUGAAUAAUUCGAUUAUUUGAAAUUUGAACAGAAGACUACAUACGUACAGAGUUGUAUUCAUACGUUUUAGUAAAAAAUUGCCAUGCAUAAGUAUUCUUUUUAGUAAAACAUAUAAAGUGUCGCCACAUUACCUUAAUUUUCAUUUAUUUCCAAAAAUUGAAAAUAGUAGUAAAUAAUGGCUAAACAUCUUUGAAUUCAAUGAUUAUCCCAAUUUCUGUCUGUCAUAGAAUCUGCGGUAAUCAUUUCACAAUCAGUGAUUAUAAACAAGGAUCAGUAUAUUGGUUGAUAUUAUAGCCAGAGAGCGUCACAAAACAUAAUCCAAACCACUUGUCUAGGAUAGAGAAGUAAAAUAAACAUUAUAAAAUACAUUUUAAUAAAUUAUAGCAACACUGUUACUACUCCGAGCAGGACUAGUAAAUCAUCUAAGAGAAAAUUAUAUUUCUCUAACGACGAGUUAGAAGAAAAUUAACAGACAAACAAAAGAUUUGGAGACGUUGCGGUUAAUGAUUUUAAUUCACCCAGACUAGCCAUAGCAACUUAAUAAUGUAUAAUUCACUCACACUUAUUUCAUACAAGGGAUUAUACUUAUUAUGGUUUUCAAAACUGAAAUAUAUAAUGUGCUACAUACAAGGAGCUAGGUAGUGGAGCCAAUGUAUUGACAAUUUUACAGACGUUAACUUUUUAAAGAUAAUUCUGCCGGUUCAGAUGAAGCCAUACAAUACUGGAGUGAAUUAUGAAACUUAAAGGUUGCCGACAUAAAUAAUAUAAUAUAACGAAAAGGCCAUCUAUAUACUAAGCACCGACCAUGGGCAAGGUCUAUCUAUUUUAAAUCAUGAUGUUAACUUUGCAGCUUAGAAUCUAUAGGUUCGUAUGAAGCCUGUCUAUUAAUUAUUAAGAGACAAAUUUGCAGUCACAAGAUCAUGUUUGGCUUUGAGAAUUUAAAAAUUAGGGUGAAUUGACCUUUUAUGAAACUUGAUGGUAAGAACAUAUCUGUAUUUGUGUGUGAGAUUUUGCGAUAAUUCAGUUUUUAAGUGAGUUGUAAGCAUUUUUAAUUUAAACUAUAAUAUAUGCCCAAAACUUGAUAAAAAAUUGAACUACCUAUAAUAAAAAAAAAACAGAUAAUGCACUUACCGUGAACUUUUAUAAUACGUUGAUAAAAGUUUUGGGCUGUAUAUUUCAACAAUAAUUACUCAUUUUUUACAUUAUACGAUUUUAAUUGCCAUUUUUUUUGCCAUUUUUUAAUUAAUUGCUUUUGCAAUUUUGGCAAAUACACACUUGGGAAUACAUUGUUUUCUUAUACGAUAUGCUUCUUUUUUCCUAUAUGAGAUAAAGAAACCUAACUUUUAUACAUACAUCUGUUCUAUGUCACUCUGAUUCUAAAUUAAUCAAUUUUUUAUUGAUUUUUUGCAAUUACUUCUAUUGCGGCAUUUUAAUUUUGAAUAUGUUUAUUGUGAAAUAAUAAUAAAAAUUAUUUUAUUUUAUUAAUAAGAUAUUAAAAAACACGAUUACUACUAAUGUACCUAUGACAGUAGUUACAGCUCUGAAAUGUUUAUUAGGGUUUAGGGUAGAACGACUGUAAAUUGGAAUCGUUUCCUUUUAAAUCCCGGUUCGUGGAACAGCGUUCAUCGGACUUCAAUAAAAUUUAAUGCCCGCCACCGAGUUGUACCUCCAAUUGUUGCCGACGUUAGAAUCACUCACAAAUUACAAUUAUAUGAAAUUUGAACAGAAAUGCGGACUACAUUCGUACAGAGUUGAAUUCAUACAUUUUAGAAAAAAAUGUCCAUGCAUAAGUGUAAAACAUCCAAAGUAUCGUCUCGGCACACUACCUUAAUUUUCAUUUAUUUUCAAAAAAUGAAAAUAGAAAGAAAUAAUGGGUAAACAUCUUCGAAUUAAAUGAUUAUCCCAAUUUCUGUCUGUCAUAGAAUCUGCGGUAAUCAUUUAUCAUUUCACAAUCAGUGAUUAUAAACAAUGUUCAGUAAAUUAGUAAAUAUGGUCAGAGGCUGUCUGAAAACUUAAUCCAAACCACUUGUCUGGGAUAGAGAAGUAAAAUAAAUGUUAGUAAUUCAUGGCAAAAUUGGUACUACUCUGAGCACGACUAGUAAAUCGCAUCUAAGAGAAAAUUUUGUUUCUACAACGAUGAAUUAGAAGAAAAUGAACACACGAAUAAAAGAUUUGGAGUCCAUACAGUUGAUUAUUUUAAUUCACCCAGAAAAGCCUUAGAUACCCAAUAAUGUCUAAUUCACACACACUUAUCUCAUACAAUAAUGGAUUAUACUUAUUAUGGUUUUCAGAACUGAAAUAUAUGAUGUACCACAUACAAGGAGCUAGGUUGUGGAGACAGAAAGCAGAGUUCUAUUCAUACAUUUUAGUACAAAAUCACCAUGAAUAAGAGUAUUCUUUUCAGUAAAACAUCCAAUGUAUCGCCUUGCCACAUUACGUUAAUCUUCAUUUGUUUCCAAAAAAUGAAAAUAGAAGGAAAUAAUGGCUAAACAUCUUCAAAUUAAAUGAUUAUCCCAAUUUCUAUUUGGCAUAGAAUCUGCGGUAAUCAUUUCACAAUUAGUGAUUGUAUACAAUGCUCUCAAAACAUAAUCCAAACCACUUGUCUCGGAUGGAGGAGUUAAUUAAAUUUUAGUAAUUUACAGCGACAUUGGUAUUAUUCUAAGCACGACUAGUAAUUCGCAUCAAAGAGAAAAUUGUGUUUCUCGAACGAUGAUAAACCUACAAACAAAGGAUUUGGAGACGUUACAAUUUAUGAUUUCAAUUCACCCAAAAAACCCAGAAAAAAGCCUUAGAUACUCAAUAAUGUCUUAUUCACACACACUUAUGUAAUUAGACAUAUCACCUCGAUAUAUUUAAAUUGCUAAUAAACACAUAAUUAGUUAGGACUUCAGCAUCUUUUCUAAAGGGAAAGUGAUUCUAGUUGGAUGACAGGUAAAAAUUGAA